rnacentral:lncRNA from 1 species
GGCAGUGAUGCAAGAUCUGGAAAGUAAAGCUGUUACAAACAAUGACGACAUUAAAACAUGGGACAGGUAUGUAGACGAUGUACUUGCUACUGUCAAAAAGGUCAAAACAGACGACAUCCUACUAACAAUUAACAACACCACUAAGAACAUCAAAUUUACCAAAGAGGAAGAACAUGACAACAAACUCGCUUUUUUGGACGUCCUAAUAACAAAAACAGACAACGGCACUUUAAC